ensembl:lncRNA
GCUGCGCUGCCGCUGAUCUGUUGUGACAAGCAGCGAGGAGGAGGUGAGGAGAGGAUCCAGGUCGCAUCGAGCCGAGCAGGACGCUAGCUUAUGGUCUGGUCCCUCGGACGGCUCUGGUUCGUUAGAUCGUCUCACCCGACGGGUCACCGGGAGGACGGCGUCUCUGUCCCCGCGCCGCGAGACAUCUGCUCCCCCUGCACCGCGACGACACGUCGUAUUGUUUUGUUUGUUUUCAAAGUUGGACUGGAAGAAGACCGAUAAUUGUUUCAUUUGACCUGAACUGACCGUUUCGAGUGAGAUAUAACCCCCAGACGAUGUGACAGUUUGGCGACACUUUGGUCCCGUCCUGCCCGAAGAAUAAUUCACCAAAACGGUUCUUCCUAACUACGACCGCGUUGGUCGUGGUGGUCGAGACGGUCGUGGUGAACCGAGCCGAGACCCCCCUGCGCUACGGCUUGUCAGGGGUUGUUAGUCCGGUGUCGUGGUGGUACUCACAGGUACACACCACCCGUAUGGCCAGCGUGUCGUCAGCUCGUCCGCACAGCUGGUAGGGCUGGUCGUGGUCCGAUAGGCUCCGGUACAGUGGUACGGUUCGGUGCCACGGGACCCGAAAUGUGUGGCGACGGAGCGGGGGUCCUGGUGGAGGAUUCAGAGACUGAUCGUAAGGGUAGCCUGAUGGCUAGCUGAGAAGAAGCAGUCCGCUCAGUCGAUCUCCUCGUCCAAGGCCAGAUACAAAUAGAAAUACACGAUCAGUUCAGCAGCCGAUUAGACGACAGUGACUCGUACAGGAACGGGCUGACAAAGCGAUGCUUUGUUGUCGGACAGGAGACAACUGUCAGCGACGUACAGGCUCCACAGCUGACUGUGUUGGGUGGGCUCCUGCAUCAGGUGAAGCCACUGCGAGGACCAGGGCUCAGGGCAGGGGCCAUAAGCGCAUAGGCUGUGUGUGAACAGGACCUGUGGACAGAGGGACAACUUGAAGACCGAGAGGACUCUUGGGAGGUCUUCACGAUGACACUGGACAACAUGAAAACAGAGAGAGAAAAUGCAGGACGACUUACAUUGUUAUGGUAAAAUCAGCCGUUCCUGUCAACCUCCCUUGAAGUUGAGAACACGCUGUACCCACCCCGCGUCACCUGCAGCUCCAGGCCGACAGGCAAGCCCUGAGGAGGAGGAGGAGGAGCAGUCUGUCUGGUCUCUGGGAUCCAGAUGAAGCCGGAUAGGGCUGGGUGUUGAGCCGGCACACCUCAGCGAGCUAAGCCUGCACGACCUGGCCUCGCUUACGUAGCUGGGCCCGUCUCUCUCUCUUCCAUGGCAGUCCCCUGUCUCUCUGCCUCUCUUCCAUGGCAGUCCCCUGUCUCUCUGCCUCUCUUCCAUGGCUGUCCCCUGUCUCUCUGCCUCUCUUCCAUGGCUGUCCCCUGUCUCUCUGCCUCUCUUACAUGGCUGUCCCCUGACUCUCUGCCUCUCUUCCAUGGCUGUCCCCUGUCUCUCUGCCUCUCUUCCAUGGCUGUCCCCUGUCUCUCUGCCUCUCUUCCAUGGCUGUCCCCUGUCCCUCUGUCUCUCAUACAUGUCCCCUGUCCCACUGGCUCCGGCCUCUUCGUCUGGCUGUGAGGACGUCUCUGCUUUCUGUGUAGGUAUCUCUCGAUCUCAAUGCCGACCAUCAGCAGUAUUGAGAAGAAUGGGGAGAAAAAGACAAUGCUGUAAACUGAAAGAACAUAUGCUCAGCCAUCCUUCCUGCUUAUUCUAAAUGGGUACGAGGUCACCGCCGCAUACCAGACGGGUUGUGCCUCUGAAUCCACCCGGAGUGCAGGUCUUUGUUUCUUUCAAGAGAUCUCAUUUACAAAGCGGGCCGCCUGUACACACAUGGUUGAAAGAUGCAUGGCUGUUCUGCUCACGGUCCACAAACGCUUAUAUGCUAGACUCAUACCUUUAUACUGAGCCAGUCUGACCUCUUCCCACUCCACUCUCCUGCCCGAGGUGUUAUUCCAUACCACAUGAUCCUGCACUGUUGUGAUUGGUGUGUGCACACAGUGACAGUGUGAGC